rnacentral:rRNA from 1 species
GACGAACGCUGGCGGCGUGCUUAACACAUGCAAGUCGAACGGAAAGGCCCUGCUUUUGUGGGGUGCUCGAGUGGCGAACGGGUGAGUAACACGUGAGUAACCUGCCCUUGACUUUGGGAUAACUUCAGGAAACUGGGGCUAAUACCGGAUAGGAGCUCCUGCUGCAUGGUGGGGGUUGGAAAGUUUCGGCGGUUGGGGAUAGACUCGCGGCUUAUCAGCUUGUUGGUGGGGUAGUGGCUUACCAAGGCUUUGACGGGUAGCCGGCCUGAGAGGGUGACCGGCCACAUUGGGACUGAGAUACGGCCCAGACUCCUACGGGAGGCAGCAGUGGGGAAUAUUGCACAAUGGGAGGAAGCCUGAUGCAGCAACGCCGCGUGCGGGAUGACGGCCUUCGGGUUGUAAACCGCUUUAGCCUGUGACGAAGCGUGAGUGAAGGUAAUGGGUAAAGAAGCACCGGCUAACUACGUG